UCCGAGUUGACCCCGGCAGUCUCCUACGAGUCCCCGGCAUUACCCGCUGGCAACAUAGGACGAGGGUUGCGCUCGUUGCGGGACUUAACCCAACAUCUCACGGCACGAGCUGACGACAGCCAUGCACCACCUGCACACAGGCCACAAGGGAGCCGACAUCUCUGCCGGAAUCCUGUGCAUGUCAAGCCCAGGUAAGGUUCUUCGCGUCGCGUCGAAUUAAACCACAUGCUCCGCUGCUUGUGCGGGCCCCCGUCAAUUCCUUUGAGUUUUAGCCUUGCGGCCGUACUCCCCAGGCGGGAUGCUUAAUGCGUUAGCUUCGGCACGGACGGAGUCGACACCGCCCACACCUAGCAUCCAUCGUUUACGGCGUGGACUAC
rnacentral:misc_RNA from 1 species